AAAUUGAAGAGUUUGAUCAUGGCUCAGAUUGAACGCUGGCGGCAGGCCUAACACAUGCAAGUCGAACGGUAACAGGAAACAGCUUGCUGUUUCGCUGACGAGUGGCAGACGGGUGAGUAAUGUCUGGGAAACUGCCCGAUGGAGGGGGAUAACUACUGGAAACGGUAGCUAAUACCGCAUAACGUCGCAAGACCAAAGAGGGGGACCUUCGGGCCUCUUGCUAUCGGAUGUG
rnacentral:rRNA from 1 species